CUGGGCUCCUGGAGCAACGUGGCCAUUCCCCUGGCAGGAACUCCUUCCCAGAGGCCAGGGGAUGACCUCUGCCCUCCUCCGCGCAGCCUCCCUGCCCCGUGAUUUGAUAGCACGUGGCAGACCUGCAGUGUAGCUUGAUUUGAGCUUUUCUUUCCAGCCCGGGGUUGCGCCAGGCUGUACGUUCUGCCUCUGGGCCCUUUCCCCAGCCUCAGUCCCUGAUGCCGCUCGCGGGUCCUGAUGAAACAGAAGCAAGGCUCUGACUGUCAAUGGUCUCCUCCAUUUGAUUUAGGGUGGUCAUGGACCCUUCCCUCCCCGCGGCCUGAUUCCUUUCAGAGCGUAUCUAACGCCCUGAGCGAAUCUGUUAACUGAGUUAGACGCCGCCGGAGCAUCAGAGGACCUCCCUGGGCUGUCUUGAGUCCAGCGCUGAAAGGCGGGCUGCAGGGAGGCUGCGCUGGUCGGGAGCAGUGAGAGCAGGCAAGAAGAGCAGACGCAGUCGUGACUGAGGGCGACUCCAGAGCAGGAAAGAUGCCCCAGCGGCCGGUCCCCGGGACUCACCCCUCCCUCCGUCUCGUGAUCGGAGAGCCACCGCCGUCCAAUCAGCGGCUGAAGCGACAUCCGCCCGCCCAAUCAGCGGCUGAAGCGACAUCCGCCCGCACUCGGCUUCGGUCUGACUCCCCACGUGCUCCCCACCCUGUGCCUGCUGUGAUCGGCCACAAAGCCUUCGUGUGCAGCCCAGCACACACAUUAUGGGGGCUUAUAUCUACUCUUUUUUUUUUAGUGCUUUUUUAAGGGUGGUAAAAGUCACAUAAUACAAAACAUGCUCUUCUAACUGUAUUUACAUGUACAAUUCAGGGCCCUAAGUACACUCACACUAUUGUGCAAAUCUCACCAUCGUCCAUCUCCCAAACGUCUCACCUUCCGAGACUGGACUCUGUCCCCACGAAACGCUAACUCUCCACUCCUGCCCCAGCCUGCAUCUGCUCCUGGCACCCGCCAGGGUACAUUCUGACUCUGUGAGUUGACUGUUUGGGGCACCUCAUAUAAGUGGAAUCACAGUAUUUGUCUGCACCAAAUGUGUACUGGAAUGAAUUUUUAGGGUUACCAUACGUCCUACAAACAGAUUGUGUGUGUGCUCAGUCGCUCAGUCAUGUCUGACUCUUUGCGAUCCCAAGGACUGUAGCCCACCAGGCUCCUCUGUCCAUGGGAUUCUCCAGGCAAGAAUACUGGAGUGGGUUGCCGUGCCCUCCUCCAGGGGAUCUUCCCGACCCAGGGCUCCAACCAUGUGUCCGUGUCUCCUGCAUUGGCGGGAGGAUUUUUCACCACUGUGCCAACCGGGAAGCCCACAGACAGAUUAAAUACUCUAAAAAAAAAUCAGUGUGUCCGAAGCUCUGCUGCUGGCCUCCCUUCCUGCCCCAGGCAUGUUCACGAACCUUCCUGCCUCCCGGUGACCUGCGCUGGGAAACCCCCGGGCCUGUCCCCUUCUCAUCCCUGAGAUGACAACACACACCCAGUUCUUGUCUCACACCGGGAACCUCGAUGUUCCUCUCCAUUCUUGCCUUUGGCUCAAAAGAAAUUAAAAGCCCCCAAAAAAAUUCUAAUAAGAGAUGAAAACAAACACCUAACAUAUCAAAAGAACUAGUCAUUUGGCCCCUGGAAGUAUGAAUAGUUCCUGCCUUCUCUGUAUCAGGGCACUGAAUUAAAAAUGAAAACAGAAACACACGUGUUAAAUACACAUUUAAGCCUCACCUCCGACAGAUGACUGAGGGGUGUUAUGUGCUGAAUUGUGUUUUUUUGUUCAACCCACAGAGAUAAUUAUUUACUCAAUAAAAUUUAAACAGUUAUCAUGGCAUAAUUGGAAGCCGAGGGGAGCUUCUUUCUCUUCCCACCUCCUCUCAGCGGCAGUUGACAGAACCGCACCUUAGACAACAUGGUUAUUUUAAAUAGUUUGCUUCUAUAGUUUGGUGCUUCCCAGGUGGCGCUAGUGGUAAAGAACCUGCCUGCCAAUGCAGGAGAUGUAAGAGACACAGGUUUGAUCCCUGGGCCGGG
ensembl:lncRNA